rnacentral:lncRNA from 1 species
UUGAUCGCUAUUCUGCACCGAGUAAAGAUGGAACAUGAUGAUGAUAUUAAUCUUGAUGCUUGUUCUUUAAUUGUUUGGAAACUAUGCUUGCUUAGUAUAAGUUGCUAAUCUAGACUGGUUAAUGAACUUAGAACUUGAGCUAAAAUAUUGAAAGUAAGGACCAACUUUAGUCGCUUUUGGCAAAAACAAAUCCACCGCCAAAAAGCCUUGCAUGUCUAGAAGUCGGUGGAGUAGUUACCACCUGAC